rnacentral:tRNA from 1 species
GUGAAGGUGGCCGAGUUGGUCUAAGGCGCUAGUUUCAGGUACUAGUCUCUUCGGAGGCGUCGGGUUCGAAUCCCAUCCCUUCACA